UAGGGAAUCUUCCGCAAUGGGCGAAAGCUUGACGGAGCAACGCCGCGUGAGUGAUGAAGGUCUUCGGAUCGUAAAACUCUGUUAUUAGGGAAGAACAAAUGUGUGAGUAACUAUGCACGUCUUGACGGUACCUAAUCAGAAAGCCACGGCUAACUACGUGCCAGCAGCCGCGGUAAUACGUAGGUGGCAAGCGUUAUCCGGAAUUAUUGGGCGUAAAGCGCGCGUAGGCGGUUUUUUAAGUCUGAUGUGAAAGCCCACGGCUCAACCGUGGAGGGUCAUUGGAAACUGGAAAACUUGAGUGCAGAAGAGGAAAGUGGAAUUCCAUGUGUAGCGGUGAAAUGCGCAGGGAUAUGGAGGAACACCAGUGGCGAAGGCGACUUUCUGGUCUGUAACUGACGCUGAUGUGCGAAAGCGUGGGGAUCAAACAGG
rnacentral:rRNA from 1 species